GUUCUCUGUUUGUUUUGAUGCAGGUCAUUGCUGUUCCUUUUCCUUGUAAAGUCUUCCACCUCCCUUGAUAUUUAUAUAUUUUUUCCUCUGUCUUUUGAGUUGCUGACUUGUCGCCCCAAGCUCUAGGAUGGUAGAAUGCCUUUCACAGCAUCAUCACUACAGAUUUGAGAACGUCGGAGGAAAGGGGCCAACAUUUUCCUUGUAGCUAGCAUGUCAUAUCUUGCCUACCUUUUCUGCUACCUUCUUCUCACAACAGCUGCACCUUGGAGGCCAAACAAAGGAACAAGUCCAGGUGGCUUUGUUUCUGCUUAUCUUCCCAUUAUCUCAGGGAUGACAUUACUGUAUUGCUUCCCAUCUGCUGCCGCUGAGGUCACCGUUCUGGCACACAGCAGAACAGCUGCAGAGAUCAAGUGAUGGCCCUGCUAUAGCUUCCUGGAGGGAUGAACGUGGAAAUGAACAUCAGGAAAAGGAAAUUGCCAGCCAUGUCCCUGUGCUGGCCACUUGAGCGCUCGAAAGAUUUGGCAGGUGGCUCCAAAUUUUUCCAUGGAGGAAGGCAGGAUCUUUUUCUUCUGUACGCUAAGCCUCUGCUCAGAUAAAACUACCAUAAACUGCUUUCACUACUCAUUCUUGAUCUCACCCAAAUCUGCAUCUGGACCUCAUCCCACUCCACUGUCCUGUGAAGGUUGCUAAUGCUGGGGGUUUUCUCUAGAUGCUGCAUCCAGAAACAAUUUCUGCUGCUUUUGCCAGAGAGUGAAGGUUCUUCACAAAGCAGGAAAAUAAGGAGUAACCAUCCUAACUGGCAUCAAUCAAAAAUGUCCCUGCUGAUUUCCUGUGCCCACUGUACAGAAUAAAUGAAUAAAUGCUAACAUUAGCAUAGUACAGGGGAGUUAGGAAUGCAGGGCACAAGGACAGCUCGUGACCUGAGGAACAGGAUUUACACAAGAGUGAAUUUGUUACCGUGCGGACUCCCCAUGUGGGGCACUGACUUCCUGGAAAACCUUUGCUGGCAAAGCAGUCCUCAAAGAGUAGUGACAAGCUAGCACAUUGUGUCAGGCAUCGUGGAAGGAUGAAGGUAGCUGGCCAUCAGCAGCUGUUUUGAGUGGAAAUCCGGCACAGCAGAAAGCUUUGGCCACUAGGGAUGGCAUUUGUGCAGUGCACAUUGGCCACUAGGUAGAGUGCUUUUUCAGAGCUGUGUCUUCACACCUUUACAACCAAAGUAAAGUGGAGAAAUAAAUCAUUGUGCAUGGUUGUCAUCUUUGCUCCAGUAGCACCAGCCAAAGAGUUUAAAUAUAGCUAAACCACUGUGUUUCCUGAGAAUAAAUGCUCAGAUACUCAAAAUAAAUUGCUAGGUCCUGCUAACACAGGGAUGAUUUAUAAACCAAUUAUACUGGGAAUUUUAUUCUACAUUGUUGCUCUUAGGGAUUAUGGGUCAAUUAGGUUUUUGCUCCUGUAGGAACACACCCUUAUUCUGCCAUAAAAUGUCUGAAGUUGG